GGGGUCGACCGGAAUUGACAGGAUGGAGAUAAGUAUGUAAGCAUGCAGCGCGUUGGGUGAAUUAGCGCUUUAAUCUGAACGCUCAAACUUUCAAAUGGCGAAAAUCAAUACGCCUUAGCUGCCUAAUUUAGAAUUAGAAUAGCUUUUGUCCCGUCGUUGUUCUGUUUCAUUGCAGCGGCACCAGGGGCAUCGAAAAAUGAAACUGGCUUGUUUGGGGUACGGCAAACAGGUGAGAAACAGUACCUAAGGAUGCGGUACAGGUAAUCGGUUAACCUUCUUCAUCCCGACAAUUAAAUAACAGAUAAGCAUGUAGAAAGCGUACCUUAUACCAUGUUUGGACGAGGGUUCGAAUCCCUCCGGCUCCACAA
rnacentral:tmRNA from 1 species